AAGCAGGGGGUUUCUGCUGUGGGUGAUACCGUUCUCCUGCCAUACUCAUUUGAAAUUCACCUCACAUAUUCUUCUGCAGCAUUUGCAAGCAGGGAGGGAAGGACUGCGAUUUCAGCAGCAGUAAUAUCCAACAUGAGUCCCAAACAGCCUGAUCUGUUUGAAGCUUCUGUGAAGAGUAGUCCCAUCAGCAUCAUUCCUGCAAGACCAGCCUGCAGCAUGGUCAGAGCCUGCAUGUUUUGUGUGUGCAGCACAAGAUACUGCAAGAAAGCACCCAGAAACCAAAAUCAAAGCAAAACUCACAUUCCCACUUGUUCAACUCAUGCUGUGACCCUGCAUGCAUUGAGAAGUUCAAUUCACGCACUGAUUUUCUGAAGCAAGAUUUGUGUCCAUGGAUGCCCAGGGACCUCUAUAUCAAACCCUUUAUUGCAUUCCUGUCUCUUACCCUCUUUCUGUCUUUGCACAUGGUACUUGAAGCUACCUAAAAUAAAGCUCUUUGAAGGCAGGGGAAUUUCA